rnacentral:rRNA from 1 species
UACAGAGGGUGCGAGCGUUAAUCGGAAUUACUGGGCGUAAAGCGUGCGCAGGCGGUUUUGUAAGCCAGAUGUGAAAUCCCCGGGCUUAACCUGGGAACUGCAUUUGGGACUGCAAGGCUUGAGUGCGGCAGAGGAGACUGGAAUUCCUGGUGUAGCAGUGAAAUGCGUAGAUAUCAGGAGGAAUACCGAUGGCGAAGGCAGGUCUCUGGGCUGACACUGACGCUCAUGCACGAAAGCGUGGGGAGCAAACAGG